rnacentral:rRNA from 1 species
GACGAACGCUGGCGGCGUGCUUAACACAUGCAAGUCGAACGGAAAGGCCCUGCUUUUGUUGGGUGCUCGAGUGGCGAACGGGUGAGUAACACGUGAGUAACCUGCCCUUGACUUUGGGAGAACUUCAGGAAACUGGGGCUAAUACCGGAUAGGAGCUCCUGCUGCAUGUUGGGUGUUGGAAAGUUUCGGCGGUUGGUGAUGGACUCGCGGCGUAUCAGCGUGUUGGUGGGGUAGUGGCUUACCAAGGCUUUGACGGGUAGCCGGCCUGAGAGGGUGACCGGCCACAUUGGGACUGAGAUACGGCCCAGACUCCUACGGGAGGCAGCAGUGGGGAAUAUUGCACAAUGGGCGGAAGCCUGAUGCAGCAACGCCGCGUGCGGGAUGACGGCCUUCGGGUUGUAAACCGCUUUCGCCUGUGACGAAGCGUGAGUGACGGUAAUGGGUAAAGAAGCACCGGCUAACUACGUG